UCUGCUCGCUGACCUGUCACGGGAGGACUUCAAAAGGGUUGAGGAACUUCAUAAACAGAGGAUGGCAAUUAAGGAGGAUAAAGAGGCUGACAUUAGAUGAGUGCCAACAGCUUCUACAAAGAUGCCUCACUCGUGAACCUUGUCUCAUCUUUGAUCUCAUGAGUCUCCCCCCCCCCCCCCCCCACCAGGACCUCCUCAUCCACAGGGACCCAGCUGGUGUGUCUGUAGAAACUGCAGAAAUAUGCCAACACUGCUGGAACAGAAAUGCUGUCAACAACAACCACAAAACUGCACAUCACUGUUGCCACACAUGGAGCUAUACAUCUUGCAGGAAGGUGUGCUGAGACUGGCCAGGCGAAUCUGGAAUGGCCUUAGGGCAGAGGUGGACAUCCAGGAUAUGGGAGAAAGUCACAGACAGUUCCGCUAUGCUGCAUAUAGGAACUUUGUUGUAUGGCAAUAUGGUGUUCUGGGACCAGGAUAUAGAAUUGUUAUAGCUUCAUGCUGUGUGUGGAAAAUUAGAGAUCGUUUCCCGGAUCCUAAUGGCAAUUACGUAGGCUUCAUUCCGGCCAGAGUGUAAACCUAUUGUGUAUUCACAAUAAAUCUUCUUUAUUGGGCUUUAUUCUAAGAUACCUCAGGAGCUACACUUGCACACUAAAAUAAGCUGGAUCAAUACAUGUGUGUAUUUGACACUACAAUUUUGUACCAUUUACUUUUUUUGAUAUGUUGAUAAUAAAGUCUCUUCCAAACAUA